AGCCCAAAAAAAGGAGCUGAAAAGGGCCUGCCUGAAAAACCAAAAUAACUAAAAUACUAACUAACUCAUAGAAUCAUACUAACUACCUAUGUGCUACCCAAAAAAGUGAAAAUAAAUAAAUAAAAAGAAAAACGCUCGACGCGCAUUUCGGCGUGUAUUCACGCCGAAACGCGCGUCGAGCGUUUUUCUUUUUAUUUAUUUAUUUUCACUUUUUUGGGUAGCACAUAGGUAGUUAGUAUGAUUCUAUGAGUUAGUUAGUAUUUUAGUUAUUUUGGUUUUUCAGGCAGGCCCUUUUCAGCUCCUUUUUUUGGGCUUU